rnacentral:rRNA from 1 species
AAGCAUGAGCUGUGAUGGGGAAGGAAAUUAAGUACGGAAGUUCCUGAUUUCACGCUGUCAAGAAAAGCCUCUAGGAAGAGUAGUACUGCCCGUACCGCAAACCGACACAGGUAGAUGAGGAGAGAAUCCUAAGGUGAGCGAGAGAACUCUCGUUAAGGAACUCGGCAAAAUGACCCCGUAACUUCGGGAGAAGGGGUGCUCUAUUAGGGUGCAAGCCCGAGAGAGCCGCAGUGAAUAGGCCCAGGCGACUGUUUAGCAAAAACACAGGUCUCUGCAAAACCGUAAGGUGACGUAUAGGGGCUGACGCCUGCCCGGUGCUGGAAGGUUAAGAGGAGUGCUUAGCUUCGGCGAAGGUACGAAUUGAAGCCC